rnacentral:rRNA from 1 species
AGAUUGAACGCUGGCGGCAGGCCUAACACAUGCAAGUCGGGCGGCAGCACGGGUACUUGUACCUGGUGGCGAGCGGCGGACGGGUGAGUAAUGCCUAGGAAUCUGCCUGAUAGUGGGGGAUAACGUUCGGAAACGGACGCUAAUACCGCAUACGUCCUACGGGAGAAAGUGGGGAUCUUCGGACCUCACGCUAUCAGAUGAGCCUAGGUCGGAUUAGCUAGUUGGUAGGUAAAGCCUACCAAGGCUACGAUCCGUAACUGGUCUGAGAGGAUGAUCAGUCACACUGGAACUGAGACACGGUCCAGACUCCUACGGGAGCAGCGA